ACAGGCAGUACAAUGAACAGAAAUCACUAAUUUGUCAACAAAAAUGACAGCUAACGACCGUGCGAAACCAUUUCCAAAUGUUUUUGGAAACUAGAGAAAGUCGACGAUCAACAGUCACUUCGAAUCAGCAAAGCAUAUGAAAAUGACUGAACAGUUCUCACAGCAGCGGGAAAUCACCAUGACUGAAGUGGUAGCAGGGAAGACUGGCAAGCGCUGAAAGAAUCAAGGCACAGCUCAACCCCACGCAGGCCGCCUUCCUCCUGGUCAACCAGCACAGCAUGGUGAGGGUCUCCACACCCAUCUGAGAUCUACAUGCAGGAGCACGACGAGGAUGGCUUUCUCUACUGGUCUACGCCUCUCAGGAGACCUUCGGCUGCUAGGGAGAGAGGGAAGUCUCGGCAGAGAAAGAGGGGAGAGGUGAGCAAGAGGGAGGUGAGGUUGGGUAGAAUUAGGUCUUGCCCAGCUAUGUGUUCUCUUUUGCCCCUCCAUGGAUGGUUUGAGUUCCCCUUAAGGGUCAUUACAGACAACACCAUAACUGCAUCUUUUCAUGACACUAGUAGGUCAACAGGAAUGCUAUGUGCAACAUCACCCUUCCCCUUUUUUCCUCCUAAUUAAAUCUAGUUUUCUUAGUGUAAGAUUGGGUGGAGGUACAUUAGGGGAAAAAAAUUCUUUAGUGAUCUUGGCCCCUAUUGUAUCUCUGGAGCAGUUUCACGUUUGUCAUGGAGGCAGAACUGAGCAGUUAUCGCUAGAUGGGCCAGCUGCCGAGUCAAAAUUGGCUAUCGUAAAAAAUUAUUGAAAACAGCUUUUUGGUCUUAAUUUAAGGUUAGCGGUGUGGUGGCUGUGCCAGCUAGUGACCACUGCGAGUCAUGUCAAAUGCCAACCUGUGACAUGUAAAUAAGAAUUUCUUAGCCGACUUGCCUAAUUAAAGGUUAGAAAAAUCAAUAUACAAGGACAAACUAAACAUUUAAUCUUUAAGACCUUUUUACUCACAGUUAUUGCCUAAAACAACUGAUCUUUCCCCAAUAUUGAUACAGCUUAUGGACUGUUGGCAAACUACACAAGGAAUGCUACCAUAGGCUAAUCAAGCAAUGGCUGUUUAGGUUCUUCCCUCUAUUGUACUGUUUUAAUCAAAAAUAAUUGUGAUGAAGGCUUAUUCAGUAGUAUCUGUCACCUUUUGAAUCAUAAGUCUGGGGUAGCUGACUGGUUCCAUGGGCAAGAUGAACAUCCAUAACAGCCAGCAUCACAUCCGGCCAUGAUUGGGAGUCCCAUAGGGCGGCGCAAAUAAGACUUGCCUAGUUAAGUGUAAUUGUGAUAGUAUUUAGUAGUGGAAACAAGCCAACCGCCUUUGCACAAAUUAAUACAAUAAGACUAAGCAUUGAAUUUAAAAAUGACUGAUUCUCCAUAUGCCUUUGGUAAAUUUACUUUUGAAACAAAGGGCUUGUGAUGCACUACAUACCUAACAUGUUUUGACUUAUUUACACAAUAGAUAACUUGGAAGUUUUGAAACUGUGUAAAAACAUCAAUUGUGUAUAAAUUCAAGCAGCAUCGCUACAAAUAGACCUUUUGCCAAUAAAGAUUACUUGAGCCAUGAAUGCAAUUUGGUUUACAGGUGUCACUUAAGUAAAAAGUAGGUACAAACAGAUUGUGACAAAUGCAACGUGUUAAAGGGUAAUCCAUUUAUUGUACAUUCCAAAAAUCCCCACAUCAACUGUUUGCCAUGCAUGGCUUUACUGUAAUGCAAUUGGCAGAAACACUUGUAAUGUACAUAUCCCACUUCACAUAUGGAACAUUAACUAACAUUGUCACUGUUUACAGUAAAA